rnacentral:lncRNA from 1 species
CAGGUGAAACAGUCCAGAGGUGAAAAUAACUACUGUAAACCCUCAAUUAAUAUUAGGUUCUUAAAAAUCAGAAAAAAAUCACAACUUAAGGAAGUUUUAUUGUUUUUAAUACUUUGAUAAAACGAUGAAUUAUCAGGGAGUACUUCCUUUAAGAUGACUUUAUUUUUAAAAUAAAUUAUUGGGAAAUUAUACUAAAAGCAAUGUGCUAAAACCUCACAUGCUUUUUUCCCUGUUCAAAAAAGUACUUGGGCUAGCCAGGUUUGUUUCUAGCAUUUUCUUUACCCUUUAUUGUCCAAGUUGCUUUCUGUUCUUGAAAUUGUCCUUUCUAGACUUUCUGUUUAAAAGAGGAUGUUAGGCUCGGGUCGUGGUUCAGUAGUAGAGUGCUUGCCUAGCAUGUGCGAGGCCUGGGUUAGACCCUCAGCACCACAUAAAAAUAAACAAACAAAAUAAAGGUAUUGUGUCCAAUUACAACUAAAAAUAAAUAAAAAAAGAAGAUAUAGGGGCUGGGAUUGUGGCUCAGCGGAAGAGUGCUCACCUAGCAUUGUGAAAAAUAAAGAUAAAGGCAUUGUGUUGUGUCCAUCUACACCUAAAAAAAUAAUAAAAAAUAUUUUAAAAAGAAGAUAUUAUUUAUUGAGCUGAUAUUCUAAGGAAUAUCCCUUAGUUCACCUUUGCAGGGAAUGGCUUUAUGUCUUCUUUAAAGGAAAGCUGGGUGUCAGCUUAGCAUGUUAGAUUUUCCCCGACUGCUCAGUAACAUCUAAAUCAGCCCCACAUAUUACCUGGGAUCUAUCACAAGUACAAAAAUGCUUUCUUAGAAUGGAAAUUAUUUCAUCUUCAAUCACGCCUAUUGGCUUGAUAAUGUUUAAAACAGCCCAGAAUACCAGAAAAAAUCGAGUUUUUUUCUAAAGCCCAUUUAAGACAGGAGAUGAAAAGAAUUUCUAUAGUUUAAAAACUAUUCUGAUUUAUGUAAAGAGAUUUCUCUCUAAAAAGGCUAGCAAGGUUCAAG